UACGUAGGGGGCAAGCGUUGUCCGGAUUCAUUGGGCGUAAAGAGCGUGUAGGCGGCCAGGUAGGUCGGUUGUGAAAACUGGAGGCUCAACCUUCAGACGUCGACCGAAACCCCCUGGCUAGAGUCCGGAAGAGGAGAGUGGAAUUCCUGGUGUAGCGGUGAAAUGCGCAGAUAUCAGGAAGAACACCCGUGGCGAAAGCGGCUCUCUGGGACGGUACUGACGCUGAGGCGCGAAAGCGUGGGUAGCAAACAGG
rnacentral:rRNA from 1 species